rnacentral:misc_RNA from 1 species
CAUCUUGGAAAUUUGAAAUAUGUUGACCUCAGCGACUGUAAGGAUCUAAUCAGACUUCCAGACUUGUCUAGAUGCCCAAAUCUUGAGGUUCUAGAUUUGAUGUCAUGUAUGAGUUUGGCUGAGAUUCCCUCACCUCUAAAACAUUUGAGCAAGCUUACUACACUGAAUCUAAUGUUUUGUGUAAGUCUUUGCAAUUUACCGAGCUUGCUUCAUUUGGAAAGUCUUAAGGUUCUUUUUAUGAACUAUUGCUCAAAAAUCAUACAGUUUCCAGAGGUUCCAUGUAAUAUAAGACGUUUAGAUUUAAGUAAUACUGCAGUACAACAAGUGCCCUCAUCAAUUGGGUGUCUCUCUCAUCUUUCUCAGUUGGAUUUGAAUCGUUUGAUGGAGCUUCAAAGUCUGCCAGACAGCAUAUGCAAUCUCAAAUCUCUCAGAGAAAUUGGUAUCUAUGAUUGUGUGAAUCUACAGGAACUUCCGGAGGACUUGGGGAAUCUAGAAUCUCUAGAGGAGCUUUUUCUAUGUGGCUCUGCUAUAAAAGAAAUACCAGACAGCAUUUGCAAUCUGAAAAACCUUGUGGAAUUAUCAGUUGAAACAUGUGCGAAUCUCCUUGGUCUGCCAGCAAACCUGGGGAAUUUAGAG